AUGUCGGGACCUCCGGGUCCUCCGGGUGUACCGGGGCCCCCUGGUGGUGGAUCAGUGGAGUCCGUGGACAACCUUGCUAGUCGCGUCAUCGCAUACAUCCAGAGUGGAGGUAUUGCUAGUGGGGUGCCUGGACCUCCAGGCCCGCCUGGCGCUCCCGGUGGAGGCAGCACAUCGCUAAAUGACAUCAUCAGCCUUCUACAGAGUGAGGAAGUGCGACGCUACGUCAUCGGUCCUCCUGGCCCUGCUGGUCCUCCUGGCAUCCCAGGGAUCCCAUGGAGAGGAGGCUAUGGCUUUAAUACCCAUGAGGUGGCUGGACGAGUCCUCAAUCUAAUGAAUGGUGCUGAAUACAGUGGCGUCUUGGGCGCUCAGGGGCCUCCUGGUCCACCUGGUGUCCCAGGCCCUGCUGGCCCUCAAGGCCAUGCCGGUCCUUCAGGACAGGCCCCCUACAGCGGCUCUGGAUACAGGCUGGAGGAGGUCAAGGACUACAUACAGAGUGAUGGUAUAAGAGGGGGAAUGUUUGGGCUUCCAGGCCCCCCAGGUCCCCCUGGAUCCCAGGGACACAAGGGAGAGCAGGGUAGCUCUGGGUACGGCCACGCCUUCGACCACAGGACCAGCGAGGGAAGAAGGCUGGCUGAGACUGAGACAGACUACUCCAAUAUAGCGGUCCGAGUGACUGACUACAUCAAGUACCAUGGUCUGUUGAGGGACGUGGUUGAGAACCGGUCUCAGCUGGAGAAGUCACAGGUUGUUCAAGGACCCCCAGGACCCCCUGGCCCUCCCGGUGCGCCAGGAUUCAGCCAUGUGUUUGGAUCCCAUAGUAACGCCACUGACCUUGUGGAAUACAUCAGAGCCCAUGGAAACACUGUGGGACCCCCUGGAAGGCCAGGACAGAAAGGGGACAUAGGACAUACAGGUCACAAAGGCGAGAGAGGACUAGAUGGAAUCCCAGGAAGGACAGUCCUCCCUGGUCUGGAGUGGAAAAGGGGGGGUGGAAAGGAGAACACACACUCGUGA
rnacentral:lncRNA from 1 species